rnacentral:rRNA from 1 species
UUCGAUUCUGGCUCAGGACGAACGCUGGCGGCGUGCCUAACACAUGCAAGUCGAGCGGGGACAUGCGACGGAAUUGAAGUUUUCGGAUGGAGAUGAAGAUGUAUGUUCUAGCGGCGGACGGGUGAGUAACGCGUGAGCAACCUGUCCUUCACAGGGGGAUAACACAGCGAAAGUUGUACUAAUACCGCAUGAGACCACAACGGGACAUCCCGCAGGGGUCAAAGGAGCAAUCCGGUGAAGGGUGGGCUCGCGUCCGAUUAGAUAGUUGGUGAGGUAACGGCCCACCAAGUCGACGAUCGGUAGCCGACCUGAGAGGGUGAUCGGCCACAUUGGGACUGAGACACGGCCCAAACUCCUACGGGAGGCAGCAGUGGGGAAUAUUGGGCAAAUGGGGGAAACCCUGACCCAGCAACGCCGCGUGAGGGAAGAAGGUUUUCGGAUCGUAAACCUCUGUCCUAGGUGAAGAGGAAGAGACGGUAGCCUAGGAGGAAGCCCCGGCUAACUACGUGCCAGCCGCCGC